UACAUGGGGUGCAAACGUUGCCCGGAUUUAUUGGGCGUAAAGGGCGCGUAGGCGGCCUGGCGCGUCGGCUGUGAAAUCUCCCGGCUCAACUGGGAGGGGACGGCCGAUACGGCUGGGCUUGAGCGAGGUAGGGGAGAGUGGAAUUCCCGGUGUAGUGGUGGAAUGCGCAGAUAUCGGGAGGAACACCGGUGGCGAAGGCGGUUCUCUGGGCCUUACCUGGACGCUGAGGAGCGAAAGCGUGGGGAGCGAACAGG
rnacentral:rRNA from 1 species